AACCACUUCCUUUCCUCAUUCGUGCGCUGUUACAAAAUUGAAGAUGAUUUUUCCUAUUCCUUCUUGAACAAUGACAAGAUCACAUCAAUAUAAAUUAUAGAGAAAAGAGGGAGAAGAACCAACAGUGGUUCAACAACUAAAAAAGAGAAACAAAUCUCCAAAGAAAAACACCCUCAAAUUUUAUCCCAAAAUAGCUAUAGUAUCUCUAUAUCCGUGUCUGUCCCUCAAACCAAAAAAACUAUCAUUAGGCCUUAAGGAUUUGUGCCUAACUGUAAUCCUAUUUUUGCAUACUAUCUUCAUAGUGCAACCACUCCUCAAUCCUCGGCAUUUUAUAAAGUGAUUCCAUGCGUCAUUCUCUAACCAAAUAUAUAUAUCUUAUCUGGUGCAGUAGAGUGGAAGGUUGAGCGCAUGAGGAACACCUUCAUUAACUUCUUCCAAGAUAGGGCUCACAAAUGUUGUUAAUAUAGUCUUAUUAUAUCUUAUAAUGAUCCAACCCUUCUUCAUGUUUGUCCGAGCUGUGAAUGCAAAACCGAAGCUGGAUGAGGGGAUAAAAAUCACAAGUAAUCAGAGAUUACAACACACAAAAAUCAGAGAUACAACACAGAGCAUACACUUAGAAUAUCAGGAUAACCAUACAAUCAGAAUAUAAAACAAGGCAUAACAAGAAGGACAAUCAGAGAUACCAAAAGUGACGAAUUUAGCCGAUAUAUAGAAAGUGCAGGGAGCAUCCAGAAACAGAAAAAUCAACCAAGUUGACAUUUAAGGGAUAAAAAGCAAAAGGUACAUCCUCAGGUAAGUUACUAUCCCAUUCAUUUGCAUAAUUGUAAGCAAUAUGGUUUACUUAUUUCAUAUCCCACAUAAUAAAAGAAUACACACCUCCGCAUUCCAUUAAGAACAUUUAUAUUGUGGUAAUCUUAAGUAUAAUGUGUUUAUGAAAUAUCAUCGUCAAAUAUUUUUUUAUAAGUGUAUUAAUAGUAUCCAGAAGCAAAUGAGUUCAUAAGAACUUAAGGAAACCGAGAAUCCAGAAGGAAAUGAGAUAUGAAAAGAGAGUGAGGAA
rnacentral:lncRNA from 1 species